GACGAACGCUGGCGGCGUGCCUAAUACAUGCAAGUCGAGCGGAUUUACUCCUUCGGGAGUAGGUUAGCGGCGGACGGGUGAGUAACACGUAGGUAACCUGCCUGUAAGAUCGGGAUAACUAUCGGAAACGAUAGCUAAGACCGGAUAACUGGUUUUCUCGCAUGAGAAAAUCAUGAAACACGGAGCAAUCUGUGGCUUAUGGAUGGGCCUGCGGCGCAUUAGCUAGUUGGUAGGGUAACGGCCUACCAAGGCGACGAUGCGUAGCCGACCUGAGAGGGUGAACGGCCACACUGGGACUGAGACACGGCCCAGACUCCUACGGGAGGCAGCAGUAGGGAAUCUUCCGCAAUGGACGCAAGUCUGACGGAGCAACGCCGCGUGAGUGAUGAAGGUUUUCGGAUCGUAAAGCUCUGUUGCCCUGGACGAACAGCAAGGCGAGUAACUGCGCUUUGUGUGACGGUACAGGAGAAGAAAGCCCCGGCUAACUACGUGCCAGCCGCCGCAGUAAAAC
rnacentral:rRNA from 1 species